UACGGAGGGUGCAAGCGUUAUCCGGAUUCACUGGGUUUAAAGGGUGCGUAGGAGGGCAGGUAAGUCCGUGGUGAAAUCUCUGAGCUUAACUCAGAAACUGCCGUUGAUACUAUCUGUCUUGAAUAUUGUGGAGGUGAGCGGAAUAUGUCAUGUAGCGGUGAAAUGCUUAGAUAUGACAUAGAACACCAAUUGCGAAGGCAGCUCGCUACACAUAUAUUGACUCUGAGGCACGAAAGCGUGGGGAUCAAACAGG
rnacentral:rRNA from 1 species